rnacentral:rRNA from 1 species
UACGGAGGGGGCAAGCGUUGCUCGGAAUUAUUGGGCGUAAAGGGUAGGUAGGUGGUCUCAUUUGUCUGGGGUGAAAGCCUUGAGCUUAACUCAAGAAGUGCCCCAGAAACGGUGAGACUAGAGUCUUGGAGAGGGUCAUGGAAUUCCCGGUGUAGCGGUGAAAUGCGUAGAGAUCGGGAGGAACACCAGAGGCGAAGGCGGCGACCUGGACAAGUACUGACACUCAACUACGAAAGCGUGGGGAGCAAACAGG